rnacentral:rRNA from 1 species
GUGAGUAGUUCAGAGUUUGAUCCUGGCUCAGGAUGAACGCUGGCGGCGUGCUUAACACAUGCAAGUCGAACGGACUUUACAUGAAGCCUAGCGAAUGUAAAGUUAGUGGCGGACGGGUGAGUAACGCGUGGGUAACCUGCCAUAUACAGGGGGAUAACACUUAGAAAUAGGUGCUAAUACCGCAUAAGCGCACGGUUUCGCAUGAAACAGUGUGAAAAACUCCGGUGGUAUAUGAUGGACCCGCGCCUGAUUAGCUAGUUGGUGGGGUAACGGCCCACCAAGGCGACGAUCAGUAGCCGGCCUGAGAGGGUGAACGGCCACAUUGGGACUGAGACACGGCCCAA